ACUGAACGCUCGCGGCAUGCCUUACACAUGCAAGUCGAACGGUAACAGGUCUUCGGAUGCUGACGAGUGGCGAACGGGUGAGUAAUGCAUCGGAACGUGCCCAGUAGUGGGGGAUAGCCCGGCGACUCCCGGAUUAAUACCCCAUACGACCUGAGGGUGAAAGGGGGGGACCGCAAGACCUCUCGCUAUUGGAGCGGCCGAUGGAAGAUUAGCUAGUUGGUGGGGUAAAGGCCUACCGAGGCAACGAUCUGUAUUUGGUCUGGUAGGACGACCAGCCAGACUGGGAAUGAGAAACGGCCCGGUCUCUUACGGGAGGCAGCAGUGGGGAACUUUGGACGAUGGGCGCAAGCCUGAUCCAGCAAGGCAGCGUGCAGGAAGAAGGCCUUCGGGUUGUAACCUGCUUUUGUCAGGGAAGAAAUCUUCUGGGUUAAUACCUCGGGAGGAUGACGGUACCUGAAGAAUAAGCACCGGCUAACUACGUGCCAGCCGCCGCAGUAAGAC
rnacentral:rRNA from 1 species